GAAACGAUGAUUAAUACCGGAUACUCCUUCUUCUCAUAAGUGAAGUCGGGAAAGUUUUUCGCUAAGGGAUCGGUCUAUAUCGCAUCAGUUAGUUGGUGGGGUAACGGCCUACCAAGACAAUGACGCGUAGCGGGUUUGAGAGGAUGAUCCGCCACACUGGUACUGAGACACGGACCAGACUCCUACGGGAGGCAGCAGUGAGGAAUAUUGCACAAUGGGGGAAACCCUGAUGCAGCAACGCCGCGUGGAGGAUGACGCAUUUCGGUGUGUAAACUCCUUUUAUGAGUCAAGAAAAUGACGGUAGCUCAUGAAUAAGCACCGGCUAACUCCGUGCCAGCAGCCGCGGUAAUACGGAGGGUGCAAGCGUUACUCGGAAUCACUGGGCGUAAAGGACGCGUAGGCGGGUUAUCAAGUCAGGUGUGAAAUCCUAUGGCUCAACCAUAGAACUGCACUUGAAACUGGUAACCUAGAGUAUGGGAGGGGCAGAUGGAAUUAGUAGUGUAGGGGUAAAUCCGUAGAUAUUACUAGGAAUACCGAAAGCGAAGGCGAUCUGCUGGAACAUUACUGACGCUAA
rnacentral:rRNA from 1 species